rnacentral:tRNA from 1 species
GGGUGAUUAGCUCAGUUGGUAGAGCGCUUCGUUUACACCGAAGAUGUCGGCGGUUCGAAUCCGUCAUCACCCACCA